CCUGCUGAAGCAGAAGCAUCUGCUUCAAACGUACAUGUAGGAAACGAAGUUGUUACUACUACCAAUAUAACAGUACCAGACAACAAUGGAGUGCAUCUACAUGAUCACGAGUAUACAGCAUCAAACCCUCAACAUUUAAAAAGCUUCCCUUGAAGACUAGGAUGUUGUAAACUUGCAGUGAGAAAUAUACCUGCUUAAUUAAAGGAAACCAUCCAUGACAAUUGGGAACAUCAUAAUUAAAAGACCCUGGAAAGGGAUCAUGAACACUGUUGGGAGUGUCCAUUCAACUGAAAUAUAAAAGUCAGAAGAAUUGAAGAUUGCAAUGGAUGCAACAGUAGUGACCUAAUAUGACCAAAUUGAUAUGGAUAGCCAGUCUUUCGCUCUCAGUAAUUAUAAGAGUCGCCACAAAGAAAAGACUUUUAAUGUGUAUUACACCUAAUGCAGCUCUUUUCCAUCUGUAUGCUGGAUACAAAUCCGAUUCGGCAAUUGUGAACCAUUGUGGCAUUUUAGACAAGUUGCAAGUUGGUGAUACAUGUGUAUGUUCCUGGCGGACAAAGGAUUUUGUAUAUUUGACAAACUUCCAAAUGACAUGACACUUAAUAUCCCACUCUUUCUUACAAAUAAAUCCCACUUCUCAAAAGAGGAUGCACAACUUUGCUAUAAAAUUUGCAGAUGCAGAAUCCAUGUUGGAUAGGAAAAAAAGAAUAAUUUUUAAAAAAAUCCGUAGCCAUAGUAUCUGAUCUGUUAGAAUAUUUCAGCUUUGUGUGGCUCAUGUGAAUUUUAGGUUCCCCUUUUGAAGGAGAUUGCAGAUAAAUUCCACAAACUUAUUAGAUUAAUUGCAUGUAUAUAUAUAUAUAUAUAUAUAUAUAUAUAUAUAUAUAUAUACCUUAAAUCUGCACAUACCUGCCACAUUGAAUUUUUAAAGUUAAAUGUAAUGAAUACCAUACAUGCUAUAUAACUUUCUACAUUUUCAUAUGAAUAUAAAGCCUUUUGGAACAUCUCCAUAAGAGUGAAAUAUUCUCGAGAGGGACGUUAAACAAUAUAUAAUCAAUUAACAAUAAAGCCUUUUGUUCUCAUUCUAAAGGUUUUCAAAUGUGAA